rnacentral:rRNA from 9 species
UAGGACUCUCGGCAAUGGAUAUCUUGGCUCUUGCAUCGAUGAAGAGCGCAGCGAAAUGCGAUACGUGGUGCGAAUUGCAGAAUCCCGUGAACCAUCGAGUUUUUGAACGCAAGUUGCGCCCGAGGCCAUCUGGCCGAGGGCACGUCCGCCUGGGCGUCAAGCAUUAAAUCGCUAC